rnacentral:rRNA from 1 species
AACGGUAACAGGAAGNNCAGCUUGCUGCUUUGCUGACGAGUGGCGGACGGGUGAGUAAUGUCUGGGAAACUGCCUGAUGGAGGGGGAUAACUACUGGAAACGGUAGCUAAUACCGCAUAACGUCGCAAGACCAAAGAGGGGGACCUUCGGGCCUCUUGCCAUCGGAUGUGCCCAGAUGGGAUUAGCUAGUAGGUGGGGUAACCGGCUCACCUAGGCGACGAUCCCUAGCUGGUCUGAGAGGAUGACCAGCCACACUGGAACUGAGACACGGUCCAGACUCCUACGGGAGGCAGCAGUGGGGAAUAUUGCACAAUGGGCGCAAGCCUGAUGCAGCCAUGCCGCGUGUAUGAAGAAGGCCUUCGGGUUGUAAAGUACUUUCAGCGCGGGAGGAAGGGAGUAAAGUUAAUACCUUUGCUCAUUGACGUUACCCGCAGAAGAAGCACCGGCUAACUCCGUGCCAGCAGCCGCGGUAAUACGGAGGGUGCAAGCGUUAAUCGGAAUUACUGGGCGUAAAGCGCACGCAGGCGGUUUGUUAAGUCAGAUGUGAAAUCCCCGGGCUCAACCUGGGAACUGCAUCUGAUACUGGCAAGCUUGAGUCUCGUAGAGGGGGGUAGAAUUCCAGGUGUAGCGGUGAAAUGCGUAGAGAUCUGGAGGAAUACCGGUGGCGAAGGCGGCCCCCNNNUGGACGAAGACUGACGCUCAGGUUGCGAAAGCGUGGGGAGCA